AAAACAAUAAAAUUUUUAAAAAAUAAAAUAAAAUAAAAUAAUAAAAAGAAUUAGAGCAGGAUUCUAAAAACUUAAAAAUAAUAAUAAUAAAAGGAAUUAUAGCAGAUUUCUUCUUGAAAAUGUUGAGAGCAGGAAGACGGUGGAGCAAUGUCUUGAAAGAACUGCACUGAAAGAAAGCCUGUGAACCUGGAACUUUUUACUCAGUAAAAACAUUUCAAAACAAGGGCCACAUAAAGACGUUUCAGUCAUAGGAAGACUGUAAGAGUUCAUGUCCAACAGACUUGCACUACGGGAAGUGAGAGGAAGUCCUCUUUGUGGAAGGAAAUUGAUACUGGACGGAAAUCUGGAGCUACACAAAGGCACGAGGAUCACCGGAACUGAUAAAGCCAUGAGCAAACAUGGAUCUCUUGGUGAUAACAAAAGCUCCGCGUGUCUGGAGGAAACAGGAAACAACAAUAAUUGUUUUGUUUGCACAAAUGCAAAGUGGAUGUCUAGUCAUCUGGAACCAGAAAUAAAUUUGAUUUGAGUAUCAAAAAUAAGAAGUGCCCUUCUACGUGCCAGCACGCCCGGGAGGUGCAGGGCUCUGGCUCUCCUGCGAGCUGCUUUCUGCCUGGGUGUGUGUGGGGUUGAUGAUGUCACAGCAUUUCAGCCUCCUCACCUGCUGCCACCAUGGGUAGCAGGUGAAGGAGGCAACGGGUAUCUAUCAUAUACUCUGACUGUAAAACUUUUACAUACAGUACCUCAUGCAUCUUCUAACAGCCAUAUGAGACUGGCAUGAUUUCCUAUCCCCGUGUUACUCAAGGGGAAAUUAGGCUUUCCAGAGUAUAACUGACUUGCGCUGGCUCAUAGAGCUAAGUGUCAGUGCCUGGAUUCCAACCCAGCUUCAAUGUAUUCCUGAGCCCAUGUUCUUCCCACCUUACCGAGGUGACCACAGUGCCUUGGACCCAGACAGCUGCUUUCUAAUUUCAGUUCCCCUCCUGAGUACUGGUGUGAACUAAACAAAUCACUUCCCCACUCAGGGCCUCAGUUUCAUCAUUUGCAAAAAGAUGUUGACUUCAAACUUGCCAGUCAACACUUCCUUCUAACAGUCUGUGGUUUUAUUAUCCUAAGUGGUCACUGCUGACUUUUUGAAUGAGACACCUGUUUCCUUCAUCCCUCUAGUCCCUUCAUAUUGAACUGAGAGGGUCCAUCGUGCACCAAGUCCCAAGGGAAAGCCUACUUACAAGUUGUGAUUGCCGGAGAAAUUGAGGAUUUCUUCCCAACUUCCUGCCACACCUACUGGAGAUUGUUCUUUUCGUAUGUAUUAGCAUCUGACAGUGUCUACUUGUUAUUUUCAAUAUUGAAUACUCAUAAAAUGUUUAAAGCAUAAGUAAUUAUAAUAAAGUUACAUCCACAUAUCCACUACCCAAUUUCAGAGAACAUAACCUUCAACUUCAAAGACCCCACUGAACUCCUCCUCCAUCCCAUCUUUUGAGAAAUGACCACUCGU